rnacentral:misc_RNA from 1 species
UCCGGCUUUCACCGGCUGUCUCCUUAGAGAGCCCAACAUUACUUGCUGGCAACUAAGGACAAGGGUUGCGCUCGUUGCGGGACUGAACCCAACAUCUCACGACACGAGCUGACGACAACCAUGCACCACCUGUCACUUCUGCCCCGAAGGGAACCUCUAUCUCUAGAGGGAUCAGAAGGAUGUCAAGCCUUGGUAAGGUUCUUCGCGUUGCUUCGAAUUAAACCACAUGCUCCACCGCUUGUGCGGGCCCCCGUCAAUUCCUUUGAGUUUCAACCUUGCGGUCGUACUCCCCAGGCGGAGUGCUUAAUGUGUUAACUUCGGCACUGAGGACGUGAUGCCCCCAACACCUAGCACUCAUCGUUUACGGCGUGGACUAC